AUGGCCCCCAAGGCAGACAAGAAGCCCGCGGCCGAGAACAAGGUCGAGAAGGCGGCGGAGAAGACCCCCGCGGGCAAGAAGCCCAAGGCCGAGAAGCGGCUGCCGGCGGGCAAGACGGCGUCCAAGGAGGCCGGCGGCGAGGGGAAGACCCGGGGCCGGAAGAAGGGCAGCAAGGCGAAGAAGGGCGUGGAGACGUACAAGAUCUACAUCUUCAAGGUGCUGAAGCAGGUGCACCCCGACAUCGGCAUCUCCUCCAAGGCCAUGUCCAUCAUGAACUCCUUCAUCAACGACAUCUUCGAGAAGCUCGCCGGCGAGUCCGCCAAGCUCGCCCGCUACAACAAGAAGCCCACCAUCACCUCCCGGGAGAUCCAGACCUCCGUCCGCCUCGUCCUCCCCGGCGAGCUCGCCAAGCACGCCGUCUCCGAGGGCACCAAGGCUGUCACCAAGUUCACCUCCUCCUAG
rnacentral:rRNA from 1 species